GUGGCUGUGGCUCAGUGGUAGAGCACUUGCCUGGUACAUGUGAGGCACUGGGUUUGAUCCUCAGCACCACA
rnacentral:tRNA from 1 species